CUCUGCGGGAAAAUAGUUCCUGUAGGAAGCAUCCAUUGUUUUUACAACCCACUUUUAACUUCCAACAAAAUUACGUCUCACUGCAACGAUGCGCCAUCUAG